rnacentral:tRNA from 1 species
GCCUACUGUUUAAUUUUGAAAGUUCUUUACGAACUUUAUAUAUGGGGGUGUAGCUCAGUUGGGAGAGCACUUGCCUUGCAAGCAAGGGGUCAGGAGUUCGACUCUCCUCAUCUCCACCAUUUAAGAGUAUAUUACUUAAAUCUUUGAUUUACUUAGUAGCCUCUUACAAUGCACUUAUAGCUUAAAUUUAUACAAGCUUUGUGCGUUAGCACUUUAAGCAACGGAAUUUAUUCGUUGGUGCCGUGCUUUAGCACUUUGAAAACUGCAUAUAUAUUUAGUGAUAUGACAUCUAAUUUGUAAUAUAUAAAGCUGAUAACUUUUUAAAAUUAUCGAAGUUGAUAGCUUCUAAUCUAUCAAACCUUUUUAACUGGUCAA